UUAUAAAAAAAAUACUUGAUCCUUUCGUACUAAAAUAUUUUUUUUUUUAAAGAUAGAAACCAACCUGGCUUACACCGGUUUAAACUCAGAUCAUGUAAAAUUUUAAAGGUCGAACAGACCUAAUUUUUUAGCUUCUACACCAAAAAUAAAUUUUAAUCCAACAUCGAGGUCGCAAUCUUUUUUUUCAAUAAGAACUUUCAAAAAAAAUUACGCUGUUAUCCCUAAGGUAAUUUAAUCUUUUAAUCAUUUUUAUGGAUCAAUUAUUCAUGAAUUAAUGUUUAAAUAAAAAAAAAGUUAAUUUAAUUUUUUUGUCACCCCAACCCAAUUAAAAAUAAUAUUAAAAAAUUUAAAUUCUAAAACUUAUAAAAUUAUUUUUAAUAAAACUCUAUAGGGUCUUCUCGUCUUUUAAAAUUAUUUAAGCUUUUUUACUUAAAAAUAAAAUUUUAAAUUAUUAAAACUGAGACAGAUACUUUCUCAUCAAACCAUUCAUACAAGCUUUCAAUUAAAAAACUAAUGAUUAUGCUACCUUUGCACAGUCAAAAUACUGCGGCCCUUCAAAAAUUUC
rnacentral:rRNA from 1 species